AUGUUUCGUCUAUUGAGAAAUUUUACACAAACAAGAGCAGUUCAAGUUCAGAAUUCCAUGUUAAGCGUAGUUAGAUUCUCUUUCAAAACAACUCGUGGUGGAUCGAGAAGAUCGGACCUCAGUAAAGGGGGUGGUGGACAAAUUAAUAGCAUUAAUGGAACAAAGGAGGAGACGAGGAGUUUGACAAACAACUCCAAAAAUUCAGUUUCAGAAUGA